rnacentral:rRNA from 1 species
GCCCAGACUCCUACGGGAGGCAGCAGUGAGGAAUAUUGGUCAAUGGUCGGGAGACUGAACCAGCCAGGCCGCGUGAGGGAGGAAGGUACAGAGUAUCGUAAACCUCUUUUGUCAGGGAGCAACGCCGGCUACGUGUAGCCGGACUGAGAGUACCUGAAGAAAAAGCAUCGGCUAACUCCGUGCCAGCAGCCGCGGUAAUACGGAGGAUGCGAGCGUUAUCCGGAUUUAUUGGGUUUAAAGGGUGCGCAGGCGGAAAAUUAAGUCAGCGGUAAAAUUGAGGGGCCCAACCUCUGCGAGCCGUUGAAACUGGUUUUCUUGAGUGAGCGAGAAGUAUGCGGAAUGCGUGGUGUAGCGGUGAAAUGCAUAGAUAUCACGCAGAACUCCGAUUGCGAAGGCAGCAUACCGGCGCUCAACUGACGCUCAUGCACGAAAGUGUGGGUAUCGAACAGGAUUAGAUACCCCUGUA